UUUAACCCAUCCAAAUGAAAUAGAAUACGCCCGUUUGACACCUAAUCCCAAGACACAAUUCGAGAUUUUCCUAAGCUACAGAUGGAAAUUGAAAACAUCCUCGUGUUCCAGAUCUUCAAAAUCAGAAGAAUGAUUUGAGAUUGGGCAUUUUUAUCUAUGACAUUCAAUAUUCUCACAAACGUUAUGAAAUUAACCCAAGUGAAGACUUCUUCCAUCAACUCGAUUCCGACUUGUACAAAUCAACAAGAUGAGUAAUUUUCCUUUUCAGUUGCUGUACAAUUUGGAAGUAACUAUCAAUUUCUUAUCAAUUUUAACUUCUUGACAGAUUGAGCUUACUUUUAAGCUAAUACCAUUGCCUAAGAGAGUAAAAUCAACAAUCCAUCGAUGUCUGACCUUAAUCGUCUCUGCAGCAGUUCUCAACCCACUAAUCGUCUCCAGACGUUGUAUCCCCACACGAUGCAAGCAUCGAAGAUACUUCUACCUUUCCAGCGCAAAGUUAGAUGGAUCAACUCGAUGCAUCGGUUUGUUGUGGUAAAGUGAGUCAGAAACUUGUCCCAACCAAGACUGGUUUUUAAUUCUUUUGUUAGAAGACUUUGUAGGAUUACUGUGGAUAUGGGUGAUAUUGGUAGGUUGUUUUGCUAGUUAUCAGUUGUCGGUUAUAGAAAUGAUUUAAAUUUUACUAAGCUUAUUCUUAUUCUAUCUUGUUAUAUGUUUGAAAUUCAUCCAACAUUGGGGAUGUUGUGUUCACUUGGUUAGGUACAGGGGGUGGUCUCCAAUCCAUGUAGGACUACAGAUAUACAUCAGGGCUAGGCCCUGCUUUGGAUCAUGAAAAAGUUUAUAUCAGAGCCUAGGUUUGGUGUUAUUGGGUGUCCAUAAAGCCGUGUCAAGUAGUCUCUUUUAUUGCUAUGUAGCACACCACACUUAUAAUGAAGAAGCUACGAGAUGUUUAGGAAUGUUUCCCUUGUUUUAUUUCAAGCUAUUCUAAGGUUUUGAAAUCUCCUCUAAUUCCUGCAUGUUCACGUUUCAAAUCAUGCCUCCUAGAAGAUCUGAUGCUAGGGGAAACUCUUCCAUCCCGUCCGAGGAUAAUGUGGACAAAGCUCAUCCUACUCUUAGGGUUCAGCCCAGGUAUAGAGUCGCUACUUCUGAAUUCCUUAAUGGAACUCAACGGAUUCCCCCUAUCCCUUCUUGAGCACCUCAAGCUGAUGUGUCUACUGUUGAGUUUUGCCAGUCGAUUCAUUUGCUUACCCAGUUGGUGGCCUCUCUGUAUUUCCAUCUUCUGAGGUUACUUAAGUUGGCAAAUUUAUGAGGCUGUCCUUUGACUUUCACUAGUUCUUAAGGUUAGAAAGAUCCUCAAAAUUUCAUUAAUAAGAUGGAAAAGAUUUUCCAUGUGAUGCAUGCUACCGAUGUGGAGGGUGUAGAGUGUGUUUCCUGUAAGUUAAAGGAUGUGACAUAUCAGUGGUAUGAGGAAUAGGAUCAGUCUAGGGGUAAUGAUACUGAGUCCACUUUGUGGGACGACUUCUCUAGUGCUUUUCUUGAUCUCUUCUUUCCUUAUGAGUUGAGGGAGGCGAGGGCUGAGGAAUUCUUGAACUUGAAACAAAGAAGGAUGAUAGUAAAGAAGUAUGCCUUGAAGUUCCAUCAGCUGUCACGAUAUGCUCUGGAAUUGGUGUCUAGCACGAAGGCUAAAAUGAGGAAGUUUACAUUUGGGUUAUCCCGUGAGUUGAUCUUGGAGAGUAAGGUUGCCUUAUUGAACAAAGAUAUAGUU